rnacentral:rRNA from 1 species
UUAACUGAAUCCAUAGGUUAAUGAGGCGAACCGGGGGAACUGAAACAUCUAAGUACCCCGAGGAAAAGAAAUCAACCGAGAUUCCCCCAGUAGCGGCGAGCGAACGGGGAGGAGCCCAGAGCCUGAAUCAGUGUGUGUGUUAGUGGAAGCGUCUGGAAAGGCGCGCGAUACAGGGUGACAGCCCCGUACACAAAAAUGCACAUAUUGUGAGCUCGAUGAGUAGGGCGGGACACGUGGUAUCCUGUCUGAAUAUGGGGGGACCAUCCUCCAAGGCUAAAUACUCCUGACUGACCGAUAGUGAACCAGUACCGUGAGGGAAAGGCGAAAAGAACCCCGGCGAGGGGAGUGAAAAAGAACCUGAAACCGUGUACGUACAAGCAGUGGGAGCCUCUUAAUGGGGUGACUGCGUACCUUUUGUAUAAUGGGUCAGCGACUUAUAUUCUGUAGCAAGGUUAACCGAAUAGGGGAGCCGAAGGGAAACCGAGUCUUAACUGGGCGUUAAGUUGCAGGGUAUAGACCCG